AGUGGUUUAGGAUAUGUAGUCUGGUCGGUUCAUGGUCGGCAGGAUUAACUGCUA
rnacentral:tRNA from 1 species